UACGUAGGGUGCGAGCGUUGUCCGGAAUCAUUGGGCGUAAAGGGCGUGUAGGCGGUCUGUUAAGUCAUGUGUGAAAUCCCUCGGCUCAACCGGGGAACGACGCAUGAAACUGACAAGCUAGAGUACCAAAGAGGGGGGUGGAAUUCCCGGUGUAGUGGGUGAAAUGCGUAGAUAUCGGGAGGAACACCAGUGGCGAAGGCGGGCUACCUGGCCCAUUCUUGACGCUGAGGCGCGAAGGCUAGGGGAGCAAACGGG
rnacentral:rRNA from 1 species